UACGUAGGCAGCAAGCGUUGUUCGGAAUUACUGGGCGUAAAGAGUGUGUAGGCGGUGCUCCAAGUCUGGUGUGAAAUCUCCCGGCUUAACUGGGAGGGUGCAUUAGAAACUGGAAUGCUAGAGGAUGGGAGAGGUAAGCGGAAUUCCUGGUGUAGCGGUGAAAUGCGUAGAUAUCAGGAGGAACACCUGCGGUGUAGACGGCUGGCUGGACCACUACUGACGCUGAGGCACGAAAGCGUGGGGAGCAAACAGG
rnacentral:rRNA from 1 species